rnacentral:rRNA from 1 species
AGAGUUUGAUCCUGGCUCAGAUUGAACGCUGGCGGCAUGCCUUACACAUGCAAGUCGAACGGCAGCACGGGAGCAAUCCUGGUGGCGAGUGGCGAACGGGUGAGUAAUAUAUCGGAACGUGCCCAGUCGUGGGGGAUAACGUAGCGAAAGCUACGCUAAUACCGCAUACGAUCUACGGAUGAAAGCGGGGGACUCGCAAGAGCCUCGCGCGAUUGGAGCGGCCGAUAUCAGAUUAGGUUGUUGGUGAGGUAAAAGCUCACCAAGCCUGCGAUCUGUAGCUGGUCUGAGAGGACGACCAGCCACACUGGAACUGAGACACGGUCCAGACUCCUACGGGAGGCAGCAGUGGGGAAUUUUGGACAAUGGACGCAAGUCUGAUCCAGCAAUGCCGCGUGCAGGACGAAGGCCUUCGGGUUGUAAACUGCUUUUGUACGGAACGAAACGGUCUGCUUUAAUACAGUGGGCUAAUGACGGUACCGUAAGAAUAAGCACCGGCUAACUACGUGCCAGCAGCCGCGGUAAUACGUAGGGUGCGAGCGUUAAUCGGAAUUACUGGGCGUAAAGCGUGCGCAGGCGGUUAUAUAAGACAGAUGUGAAAUCCCCGGGCUCAACCUGGGACCUGCAUUUGUGACUGUAUAGCUAGAGUACGGUAGAGGGGGAUGGAAUUCCGCGUGUAGCAGUGAAAUGCGUAGAUAUGCGGAGGAACACCGAUGGCGAAGGCAAUCCCCUGGACCUGUACUGACGCUCAUGCACGAAAGCGUGGGGAGCAAACAGGAUUAGAUACCCUGGUAGAAGGGC